UACAGAGGUCUCAAGCGUUGUUCGGAUUCAUUGGGCGUAAAGGGUGCGUAGGCGGCGCGGUAAGUCGGGUGUGAAAUCUCGGAGCUUAACUCCGAAACUGCAUUCGAUACUGCCGUGCUUGAGGACUGGAGAGGAGACUGGAAUUUACGGUGUAGCGGUGAAAUGCGUAGAUAUCGUAAGGAAGACCAGUGGCGAAGGCGGAUCUCUGGACAGUUCCUGACGCGGAGGCACGAAGGUCAGGGGAGCAAACGGG
rnacentral:rRNA from 1 species